rnacentral:rRNA from 1 species
CGUGUGGUUCUAUUUUGUUGGUUUCUAGGACCGCCGUAAUGAUUAAUAGGGACAGUCGGGGGCAUCAGUAUUCAGUUGUCAGAGGUGAAAUUCUUGGAUCUACUGAAGACUAACUACUGCGAAAGCAUUUGCCAAGGAUGUUUUCAUUGAUAAGGAACGAAAGUUAGGGGAUCGAAGACGAUCAGAUACCGUCGUAGUCUUAACUAUAAACUAUGCCGACUAGGGAUCGGACGAUGUUAUUAUUUGACGCGUUCGGCACCUUUCGAGAAAUCAAAGUGCUUGGGCUCCAGGGGGAGUAUGGUCGCAAGGCUGAAACUUAAAGAAAUUGACGGAAGGGCACCACCAGGGGUGGAACCUGCGGCUUAAUUUGACUCAACACGGGGAAACUCA